rnacentral:rRNA from 1 species
GACCCUCGGAUCAGACCGUGAUUACCGCUGAAUUUAAGCAUAUUACUUAAGCGAGGAAAAGAAACUAACAAGGAUUCCCUAGUAACGCGAGUGAACGGGGAAGAGCCCAACACCGAAUCCCUUGGCGCAAGUCAACGGAAAUGUGGUGUUUAAGGGUAGCUUCGUGUCAGUCUAGGGUCUCUAAGUCCACCUGAUGUGCGCUCAAGCCCAGAGAGGGUGUAAGGCCCGUAGAGACGCUCCGACUGAUUCCUGGGGUUUACCUACGAUCGCUCUGUGUUGGGAAUGCAGGCCAAAAAGCGGGUGGUAAACUCCAUCCAAGGCUAAAUACUGGCACGAGUCGAUAGGUCGACAAGUAACGUGAGGGAAAGUUUGAAAAGAACUUUUGAAGAGAGAGUUUCAAUAGUAACGUGAAACCGCUUAGAGGCAAACGGAUGGUGCUCAUACUGGCCUGAGCGAAUUCAACUGUGACGGUGGCUGGACGAGCUGGCGUUCCGAAUCUCUCUUUUCGAGCGGGCGUCGGUUUGGUAUGCAGCUCCUCACAUAGGUGCACUUUCCUUUGGUGCCUCCGCCACGACCGACGACACUGGCUACGCCGCGGCUGGGGUAAGGUGACAAACUGCUUCGGCAAUUUUGUGUUAUAGACCCCGCGUCGGACAUGGUUUGGCCAGGACGUCGAGUUGCGGCGCCGUCCUUGUGGUCGUAUGUUGGCUAGCUUGGCUGCGGCGAUGCUUGCACUGGACAACCAGUACAGGUGACGUGUUGUGGUCUUGUCUCUAGUUGGCUGUGCGAGUUUGGCGCCUAUAGUCUGUGGUGUACUUGUGGGUAGACUAUCCGACCCGUCUUGAAACACGGACCAAGGAGUCUAAACAUCUGCGCGAAGUCAUGGGGAUUUCUACGAAACCAAAGGCGCAGUGAAAGUAAAGGCCUGCUUCUCGUAGGCUGAGGUGGGAUCUCGUGCAUCGCGAUUGGCGAGCGACACACCGGCGUCCGUCCUAUCUGUCUCUGUCAGUGGGGCGGCGCAAGAGCGUACACGUUGGGAACCGAAAGAUGGGUGUAACUAUGCUUGCGCAGCUCGAAGUCAGUGGAAACACUGAUGGAGGAGCGAGCGUUUCUGACGUGCAAAUCGAUCGUCAAACGUGAGUAUAGGGGCGAAAGACUAAUCGCAACCAUCUAGUAGCUGGUUCCUCCGAAAGUUUCCCUCAGGAUAGCUGGCACUCGGGAAACAGUUUUUAUCGGUAAAGCGAAUGAUUAGAGGCAUUGGGGUCGAAACACCUCGACUAUUCUCAAACUUUAAUGGGUAAGAUGCUCGUCUCGCUUAAUUGAGGCGGGCUUCACCUCAUCUAACGUGAAUGUGAGGCCAGUGGGCCAUUUUGGUAAGCAGAAACUGGCGCUGUGGGAUGAACCAAACGCGCGGUUAAGGCGCCCAAUGCGGACGCUCAUGAGACACCACAAAAGGUGUUGGUCUCGAUACUGACAGGAGACGGUGGCCAUGGAAGUUCGAACCGCUAAGGAGUGUGUAACAACUCACCUGCCGAAUCAACCAGCCCUGAAAAUGGAUGGCGCUGGAGCGUCGGGCCUAUACCGUGCCGUUGGGUGCGAAGCAGACAAUAAUCUGUGUGGAUGUCCCAACGAGUAGGAGUCGCCGUGGUGAGCGCAGGAAGGUGCGGCCGUGAGGCGGCUGGGAGCCGCAAGGGGGCAGAUCUUGGUGGUAGUAGCAAUUACUCAAGUGAGAACUUGAGGACUGAAGUGGAGAAGGGUUCCAUGUGAACAGCAGUUGAACAUGGUCAGGGGUCGGUCCUAAGCGGAUCGGAUUAACUUCGUACUAGACGAGGGUGACAACUAUCACUUAAUGAUAAUAUUGUGACGUGUUAUAGCCCUCCGGGAGACGAAAGGAAAUCGUGUUAAUAUUCACGACCCUUACCGUGGAGAUCGCCCUUUCGGGGGGCAAGUGAGGUAACGCAAACGAGACACAGAGACGUCGGCUGGAGCCCCGGGAAGAGUUUCUCUUUUCUUUGUAAGGAGCGUACCCCCUGGAAUCGCUUGUCCGGAGAUAGGGGCGUGAUUCCGUAAAGCAGCGCGGUCUUGCGCUGUCCGGUGCACUCAUAGUCGGCCCUUGAAAAUCUGUGGGAGACAGUGUGAUUUUCACGGUAGGCCGUACCCAUAUCCCAGGCAGGUCUCCAAGGUGAACAGCCUCUAGUCCUAGAACAAUGUAGGUAAGGGAAAGUCCGGCAAAAUGGAUCCGUAACUUCGGGAAAAGAUUGGCUCUGAGGGCUGGGUCGGAUGGCUGGCUUAAAGAAGCUGUUCCGGUUUUGGGUGAGGACUGGGCGAGGCUUUCGGGCUUUACUCGACCAUGCCGAGACCAGGCAGUAGACGACGUCAGCUGUGCUUGUCGUGUUUCGGGCGCGGCGCAGCUUCGUCCGGCAAACAAACAGCCAACUCAGAACUGCACGGACUAGGGAAUCCGACUGUCUAAUUAAAACAAAGCAUUGCGAUGGCUUUG